rnacentral:rRNA from 1 species
UACGUAGGUGGCAAGCGUUGUCCGGAUUUACUGGGCGUAAAGAGCGCGCAGGCGGUCGUUCAAGUCGCGUGUGAAAGCCCCCGGCUCAACUGGGGAGGGUCACGCGAUACUGAUCGACUCGAAGGCGGGAGAGGGUAGUGGAAUUCCCGGUGUAGUGGUGAAAUGCGUAGACAUCGGGAGGAACACCAGUGGCGAAGGCGACUACCUGGCCUGUUCUUGACGCUGAGGCGCGAAAGCUAGGGGAGCAAACGGG